rnacentral:rRNA from 1 species
AGACCCGAAACCCGGUGAUCUAGCCAUGGGCAGGUUGAAGGUUGGGUAACACUAACUGGAGGACCGAACCGACUAAUGUUGAAAAAUUAGCGGAUGACCUGUGGCUGGGGGUGAAAGGCCAAUCAAACCGGGAGAUAGCUGGUUCUCCCCGAAAGCUAUUUAGGUAGCGCCUCGUGAAUUCAUCUCCGGGGGUAGAGCACUGUUUCGGCUAGGGGGCCAUCCCGGCUUACCAACCCGAUGCAAACUGCGAAUACCGGAGAAUGUUAUCACGGGAGACACACGGCGGGUGCUAACGUCCGUCGUGAAGAGGGAAACAACCCAGACCGCCAGCUAAGGUCCCAAAGUCAUGGUUAAGUGGGAAACGAUGUGGGAAGGCCCAGACAGCCAGGAUGUUGGCUUAGAAGCAGCCAUCAUUUAAAGAAAGCGUAAUAGCUCACUGGUCGAGUCGGCCUGCGCGGAAGAUGUAACGGGGCUAAACCAUGCACCGAAGCUGCGGCAGCGAACGUAUCACCCAAGACAACUUUACGGAGUUGACGAUUGACGG